UUGCGAAACCUUUACAAUGCGCGAAAGCGUGAUAGGGGGAUUCUGAGUGCGUGCACACUGUGCACGCUUUUAUCGAGUCAAAAUAGCUCGGUGAAUAAGGGGUGGGCAAGACGGGUGCCAGCCGCCACGGUAAUACCCGCGCCCCGAGUGAUGAUCACGAUUAUUGGGCCUAAAGCAUCCGUAGCUGGCCUGUUAGGUCUCUGGUGAAAUCCUGCAUUAAGUGUAGGAACUACCAGAGAAACCGGCAGGCUAGGGACCGGGAGAAGUAAGGGGUACUCUAGGGGUAGGGGCAAAAUCCUAUAAUCCUUAGGGGACCACCGGUGGCGAAGGCGCCUUACUAGAACGGCUCCGACAGUGAGGGAUGAAAGCGUGGGGAGCGACCCGG
rnacentral:rRNA from 1 species